UGGCGGCUGCUGGGGCUUCCGGCGAGCGUCUUGCGUCUUCCCGCUCGCUCGUCUGGGUCGGACCGCAGCUUGCGCGAGGGCGCCUUGGUCCUGGCUGCAACCUUAGCAAACCCCGAACCUGGGGCGCCUGGGACGGUGAAGGCGGGAUGAACCCGCAGGGAGGCCCCUGCGGGCCCGGCGGGUGUGCGCGGGGGAGGGGGUGGGCGGCGUCCGCCGCCUUCGGAAACCUGGCUGCCUUGCCCGAUUUUCCGCCUCCGGUUUGUCCAGCAGUCCAGUGCAGGACUACAGCUUGACCUAGAAGCUGCCCAGAAUUUUGGUAAACGUCCGUAUUUGCCCGUAAAGUUUUAUGCAGUUAAGGAGACACAAACGGACAGUUAGUGUUCACACACACGCACGCUCAGUUACCGGCUUUCGUUUCCGUUUGCUCGCUUGCUUAAUCGCGUGUUGAGGCUGGGGUCGGGGGGAGAUGGAAUCAGAAGGCUGUGAGAUGUGAACACAUGACUCUUCUUACUCAAGGUACCGCAGGGUAAUUUUUCCCUCGGAAGUGCAGAUCACGUGGCUGCCCUUUUCAGUGGUCCUUAUCCAUAUAGAUGCUCACGCCGGUAUUCAAAACUUUGGUUGACUUGGCUCCGCCUUCAUUCCUCACUUCUUCACUGUGUGUGCACCCUGCUUGCAGCUAAGCAGCAUUGCCUGCGUUUACGCGUCGGUACUGAGCACCUAUGUCCCAGGCACUGGGUUCAGCUACGAAGAAACAAGAGAUUCCUGCUGCUCCGAGGCUUCCGGUUGUCCUGGAAGCACUUCGAUUAUGUUAUCUCAGUGUUUUCUGUUCUCCAGGAUUUCUGAUAAGAAAUCAGCUUUAAUCUUACCAAGAUAUGUGAGUAAUCUCUCUUGCCGCUUUCAGAAUUCCAUCUUUGACUUUAGAUAGUUUGAUUAUAAUGUGUCUUGGUGUGGACCUCUUUGAGUUUAUCAUACUCAGGAUUCAUUGAACUCCUUGGAUGUGUAGGUUCAUGUACAUAUUGGUCAUUAUGUUUUCAAAUGUUCUUCCUAUUCCUUUCUCUCUGUCCUUUUCUGGCACUCUCAUUGCACACAUACUGGUACUUUGAUAGUGUCCUGCAGAUUUCAUGUGGUCUGACGAUUGUUCUUUAUUUUUCCUUUCUUCCUCUUAGGCUAUGUAAUUUCAGUUAAUGUAUCUUUAAGUUUGCUGAUUGUUUUUCUGCCUGAUCACACCUUCUAGUGAAUUUUUCAUUCUAACUCCUUACUUAAAUUCUAUUGGGUUCCUUCUGUUGAAAUCAGUGUGUGUCCUUCAACUUUGAUUUUUUUCUUUCAGAAUUGUCUUAGCUAUUAUAAGUUCUUUGUCUUACCAUAUAAUUUUUAUAAUAAGCUUGACAUUUCCUUUGAAGAAAUCCUACUGUGAUCUUGAUUGGUUUUGUAUCGAAUCUGUAGAUCCAUUUUGGAAGAAUUGACAUUUUAACAACUUCGACUCUUCUAAGCCAUGAACAUGGUAUAUCUAUUUUAGGUCUUCUUUGAUAUAUUUCAUCCGUGUUUAAUAGUUAUCACGUACAGAUACUGGAGAUAUUUGAUCAGAUUUAUCCCUAAAUAUUUCAUGCCUUUUGGUGAUACUGUAAGUAGUACUAUUUUAAAAUUUUGAUUUGUUAAGUAGAUAAUAGAAAAAUGCAGUUGAUUUUUGUGUAUUGAUUUUGUGUCCUCCAACCUGGUUAUAAAGACAAUCUAUAUGGACUGAAUUGAUUUCCUCUUUUCUAGUCCAUAUGUAUUUUUUUCUUCUUUUGUGCUAAGCAGACAGCAGAGAUGUACAACUGAACACAGCAAGAUUAGGCGAGUGUCCUCACAUGAAACCCCAGCUCCAUUUCCCCAUUUUUCCUUCUCAGAAAUCUGGCAAGUUUGGCUUAUACUCUUCCAAGCAAGAGUUUGGAUUCUUUUCUGGACUAACUGAAGGGCUCUAGGGAACAGACACACAUUUGAGGAGGCGAGGGUCAACCACUGACCGAGUAGCUGACCACUGAUCGACACACAGUGAAACCUACUAGUCAACCAGCCCUGCCCAUCCACACUGGGCUCCCAACCACCUUUUUUGCAUUUUUAUUUUUUAUCUUAUUUUUAAAAAUUUUUUAAUGUUUAUUUAUUUUUGAGAGAGAGAGCACAAGUUGGGGAGGGACAGAGAGAGAGGAAGACACAGAAUCUGAAACAGGCUCCGGGCUCCAAGCUGUCAGCACAGAGCCCAGCGUGGGGCUCGAACUCACAAACCGGGAGAUCAUGACCUGAGCCUAAGUCAGAGGCUUAACCUACUGAGCCGCCCAGGUGCCCCUUAUUUGCAUUGGUAAAUUUAACAUAUGAACAGACAGACCAUCAAGGAUUAAAGUUAAUCUCCAACAUUGAAACACAGACCAAAACAAAUUAGUGGAAACAGAAAUUAGAGGUAACAGAGGUAAUGCUCAGAGCAGAAUAUGUCCGAUACACCAAAAUUUAUAUCCUCAUGGAAAUGAGAAGAUACUGUAUCACUGAAACAAGAAGAGGAUAGUAUAAAAAAAAAAAAACAAGACAAAAGGGAUCUCUUAUAAAUUAAAGAGAAAACAGUAAAUAAGCUUCAUCAGAAGGUUUGUCAGGUAGAGUUGAGGAAUUCCCACAGAAAGUAAAACAAACAAAAUAUACAGGGAUGGAAAUAGAGGAACAAUCCUGUGUCUAGGAAGUCCCAGUGUAUUAAUAAAAGUUGUUUUAUGAAGCAACAAGGUACAAAACAGAAGUUUUACAAAACCUUAGCAACCCUGCAAACGUAUGAGAACUGGAAAGCAUGUGUUUCGCAUCCACAAGUCCACUGAGUGCCUAACACAGUGAAGAAGACGUGUCGUCAUGACACUUCAGAACAUCAGGGAAAAGGGAAGGUCCUAAGUCUUCCCGGAAGAACGGACAGAAUACAUCCGUAGGAUCAGGAACUUUAGAAUGCACAAAAAUUUCAACUUAGGCACUAAUACAAGCUAGAAGACAAGGGAGCAAUGCUGCGAAAAUUAUUCCAGAAAAUUUCCAACCUGUAAUUCUACACUAAUUCAAACUAUCGAUCAAGAUAGGACUAGAACAAAGCUAACCCCAGACAUGCUAGGUGUCAAAGAUUUAUAUCCAUGUAUCUUUUAUCUGGAAUCCUCACCCAGCAAGUGAGGAAUCCAUUCAGUUUGAGAAGAGUAUGUAUUCUGUUGGGUGGAGUCAUCCAUUGAUUCAUCCAUAGAUGUGAAUUACAUCCUGUGGAUUGAUGGUGUUGCUGCGCUUGAUCUCAGCCAAAAGGCCGAGAAGCGAUGAUUGAUGGUGUUGUUGAGUUCAGCUGUGUCCUUACUGAUCUUCCAUCUGCUGUGUGUGUCCAUUUCUGUCACAGAGCUGUUGAGGUCGCCAAGUCUAAUGGCGGAUUCAUUUAUUUCUCCUCGUAGUUCUGCCAAAUUCUGCCUCACAUAUUUUGAUGCUCUGUUAGGCACAUACACAUUAAGGAUCGUUGCGUCUUCUCGGAGGCUUGGCCUUUUAUCAUUAUGCAGUGCUCCUCCCAUCCCUGAUAAUCUCUCUCACUUUGAAGUGUGCUUGGUCUGAAAUUAAUAUCACUUCUCCUACUUUCUAUUUUUAAUGUUUAUUAUUUUGAGAGAGAGUGUGCCAGCAGGGGAAGGGCAGAGACUGAGGAAGAGACCGAGAAUCCCGAGCAGACUCUGCACCGUCAGCAUGGAGCCCUAUGCUGAGCUCGAACUCAAAAACGGUGAGAUCAUGACCUGAGCUGAAAUUGAGAGUUGGAUGCCUAGCUGGCUGAGCCCCCCAGGUGCCCCUAUCCCACCUUCUUUGAUUAGUGUUAGCACGGGAUAUCUUUCUGCAUCCCUUUACUUUUUUUUCCUCCAGCUUUAUUGAGAUCUAAUUGCGUAUAACAUUGCCUAAGUUGAAGGUGUACAGCAUAAUUAUUCGCUGCAUGUAAGAUUAAUGAAUACUUCCUUUGCCUCACGUAAUUACCUUUUUGUUGUUCUGGCGAGAAUAUUAAAGUUUUACUCUCAUAGC